UACGGAGGGUGCAAGCGUUAUCCGGAUUCACUGGGUUUAAAGGGUGCGUAGGUGGCUUUGUAAGUCAGUGGUGAAAUGCCGGAGCUUAACCCCGGAACUGCCAUUGAUACUGCUUAGCUUGAAUCACGUCGAGGUGGAUGGAAUAUUACAUGUAGCGGUGAAAUGCUUAGAUAUGUAAUAGAACACCGAUUGCGAAGGCAGUUCACUAGGCGUGUAUUGACACUGAGGCACGAAAGCGUGGGGAUCAAACAGG
rnacentral:rRNA from 1 species